AUUGAACGCUGGCGGCAUGCCUUACACAUGCAAGUCGAACGGCAGCACGGACUUCGGUCUGGUGGCGAGUGGCGAACGGGUGAGUAAUACAUCGGAACGUGCCCAGUAAUGGGGGAUAACGCAGCGAAAGUUGUGCUAAUACCGCAUACGCCCUGAGGGGGAUAGUGGGGGAUCGCAAGACCUCAUGUUAUUGGAGCGGCCGAUGGCUGAUUAGCUAGUUGGUGAGGUAAAGGCUCACGAAGGCGACGAUCAGUAGCCGUUCUGAGAGGACGACGCGCCACACUGGGACUGAGCCACGGCCCAGACUCCUACGGGAGGCAGCAGUGGGGAAUGUUGGACAAUGGGCUAAAGCCUGAUCCAGCAAUGCCGCGGGUGCGAAGAAGGCCUUCGGGUUGUAAAGCACUUUUGUCAGGGAAGAAAACUGUUUGGCUAAUACCCGAAUAGGAUGGCGGUACCUGAAGAAUAAGCACCGGCUAACUACGUGCCAGCCGCCGCGGUAA
rnacentral:rRNA from 1 species